GGUUACUCACAGUGGGUGAAAUAUAAUUCCCCUACUGUACCUUUCUAGGUUCAACCUAAAAUGAGUCUUGCAAAAGGUGGGCUGUCAUGGCUCUUGGGAGAUAUUUCCAUUCUAUAACACACUAAUGUCAGAUGCUUUUUAAAGCAUUCUGUCUAAAUUACAAUCCUUGCCAGUUCUAGUUGCUGUCCUCUGGGCCCCUGAAGUCUGAAUGGGUUCCCUAUCUUUUCUUACUUCUGAUCAAGAUAGGCUCCUGUUACCUCUGCUGAUAAUCACCAUGCUUUAAGGCAUGGCGUUUUAGCAGUCUGUUGAAAAAAUAUGGGUUUAUAUUUUUAAAAUUUGUUUUUUUAUUCUAUGGGAUUUUUAAAAAGUAUGUUUUGCUUGCAUGCAUGUCUGUGCAUCACAUGAUUGCUUUAUUUGUGUAGGCCAGAAGAGGUUGGAACUGAAGUUAAAGAUGGUUGUUAGCUACCAUUUGGGUGCUGGGAACUGAACCCUGGUCCUUUGGAAGAGCAGCGAGUGCUCUUAAACUCUGGGUCAUCUCUCCAACCUCCAAAUACAGAAUUAAAUCAGUUUAAAUUAUAUAUCUUUGGAUCACAGUGUCCGACAUAUUAUUUUAUUUCCUGUCAUCAUGAUAAAUGAACCACAACCAAAGCAACUUGGGAAGGAAAGGGUUAAUUUCUGAUGACCACAUCAGACAAGGGAAGUCAGGAGUUUAAUCCUGAACUCAAAACAGAGCCAUGGAGAAGAAGGCUGUUCCUAGCAGCUGGGUUAGCUGGGUGGUACUCAGCCAGUUUUAUUAUACAACUCAUACCUGAAUGCCUAGGUAAGGUGUCACCACAGUAGGCUUGAACUUCCACAUCAAUCAUCAGUCAAAACAGUAUCUCAGAGCCAGAGCCAGAGCCAGAGCCAGAGCCAGAGCCAGAGCCAGAGCCAGAGCCAGAGCCAGAGCCACAGCCACAGCCACAGCCACAGCCACAGCCACAGCCACAGUCCUGUCUGAUAUGGGCAAUCCUGCAAUCAAGCCCCCUUCUUCCCACGUGACUCUAGGCUCUUUCAGGUUUAGAAAAAAUUCCAUCAAACAGACGAUGGUGGAAAUUUCUCUCUUUUUUGGAAUUCUUGAAAGGACUAAAAUGAGGGCUUUUGUUUUGGUCUGUAAGAGGGCUUCAGUGGAACGGGCUUCAGUGGCACUCGCAUGCCAUCUGUCCUCAGGUCACACUGAGUGAUGGGUAAAGUAGCUGGCUCUCCUGGUUCAACCACCUGCAUGAGAGAAGCCUGGAGCUCAUCCGCCCCGGGAAAGCAUGAUUGACCAUCUUCCUGGAAUUGGGUACCAGAAUGUUGUUACGUGCUGCUUAAAGCUAGCUCUAAAAUUGCACACCAGGGUGCCGCCUCACCUAGAGCAGCAUUUCUUCUUGUAUUUUAGAUUUACUCUGUGUGUGUGUGUGUGUAUACCUGUGGAAGUACUCAUGUGUGUGAGUGUGCAUGGAAGCCAGAAGAUAACCUUAAGUGUUAUUCCUCAGCAUUGUGGCAUUGUCUACCAUUUUUUAUUUGUUUCCUUUUUGGAGACAGGGUCUCUUUCACCAGCCUGUACCUCCCCAUGUAUCAUGUAGGCUAGGCUGGCUGGCUAGUGGGCCUCACAUGCCAAGAUCACAAGUAUACACUCCCUACCCGGUUUUUGUUUUCAAGGUGUGUUCAGGGGAUCUAGCAGAGUGGCCCAUGCUUGUGAGGUGAGCUUUGCUGGCUGAGCCAUCUCCAGAGCCCAGGCUUCUUUUCUUCAUCAUUUUAUUUUAUUUAUUUAUUUAUUUAUUUUUUAUAAUAUCUGGGCCUACCUUCAUGGUAACUAGCACAAGGCUUAAGCUUCAGGUGACCCAUCUCUAGAGCUGGUUUCCAACUAGCUAGCCGGUGUCUGGGCUCAGGAGACAGCCUUCCAUAGGAGCAGUGACAGUGCUCAGAUGUCUUCCUUUCAGAUGGAGGCCUUGGAAGUGUGCAUCUGUGGACCCGGAGACCAGAGCAUGAAGCUCGGUUGCCAAGGACAAUUUCUGAUAGUCAACACACAUCUUUGCAUUGAUAGAAAUGUGUAUUAUUGAUCCGACUUCUAUCAUGGUCCUUUCUGCAUCACUACACAAAUAUUCAACCAUGUUUAUGUUCUAAAAAUACACAGAGAGGGCAGACAUUUUCAGUGAUGUCGACUUCUGCCUUGUGUUUUGUAGCACAUACAAAGUGAAGUGCCUGAGAUUCCAGGCUGGUAAAACACCUCUGCUCAGCUAUUCAACUCUGAGGGGCUUGCUUGCUCCUGGCUAUUUUGCAUAAACUCUUCCAGAUUUCCAUUCAGAGAUUUGUUCCCUGAAGUCAAAUUCACAAUGGACUCAUCUGUUUGCAUCU
rnacentral:lncRNA from 1 species